AAUUAAAACAAAACCAACAAGUCGUAGGGUUUAGGAGCCUCACUUCUCAUUUUCAUAAUUUCUCUCCCAGCUUCGACAUUUCAGCGCCUCCCUCCCCAAAAUCAUAGAUUCCCAGAUUCCGGCCCCAAAAAUGAUCAAAUCCAUAGAUAAUUUACUUGCAGAAGCUUGUAGCCGAAAUCCCUAGCCUUAUUUCUCCUAAAUUUCAACAGAUUCACCCAAAAAUCUAAAAACCCCCAAACCAUCGAAACCCUAAUUCUGGAAAAUCGUUGUUUCCUUCACCGAAUGCAAGGUUGUGUUUCCUCAUCGUCAAUCCUUCAGGUUUUGUCCUGUAUAGUUCAUGGUAGAGGGGAUAAAGGCUUAUGAAGUAAAUUCAAAUCAAGGAGUCCAAGUGUGAUCAGUUGGAGCCUUGGAGCAUACCUUUAAAAGAUGGCAUCUUCUUCUAGUAGCUUGUGUACUCCCUCAAUAUGCAGUAACCUUAAUCACAGCUUUACUUUAUCUACAGAUCAGCCUCCAAACCCUAACCUAGUUAUUAUCCCUGAAGUAGAGUCACAGUCAGUCCCAACCAUUCCUACUCAUGAAGGGCAGGAUAAUACAUUGCCUGUUAGGGCAGGUUGGAAACGAAAGAAAGGAACUAGGGUGGGGACAUCGGGUAAAAA